GAUGAACGCUAGCGGCAGGCCUAACACAUGCAAGUCGAACGGUAACAUAGAAAGCUUGCUUUCUGAUGACGAGUGGCGAACGGGUGCGUAACGCGUAUGCAACCUACCCUUAAUCGGGGAAUACCCCAGAGAAAUUUGGAAUAAUACCCCAUAAUACAACAAAUUCGCAUGUUUUUGUUGUUAAAGUUUUGGCGAUUAAGGAUGGGCAUGCGUGACAUUAGCUUGUUGGUGAGGUAACGGCUCACCAAGGCAACGAUGUCUAGGGGUUCUGAGAGGAUGAUCCCCCACACUGGUACUGAGACACGGACCAGACUCCUACGGGAGGCAGCAGUGAGGAAUAUUGGACAAUGGACGAAAGUCUGAUCCAGCCAUGCCGCGUGAAGGAUGACGGCCCUACGGGUUGUAAACUUCUUUUAUGUAGGAAGAAACCCCUCUACGUGUAGAGGGCUGACGGUACUACACGAAUAAGGACCGGCUAACUCCG
rnacentral:rRNA from 1 species